GACGAACGCUGGCGGCGUGCCUAAUACAUGCAAGUUGAGCGCUGAAGGUUGGUACUUGUACCAACUGGAUGAGCAGCGAACGGGUGAGUAACGCGUGGGGAAUCUGCCUUUGAGCGGGGGACAACAUUUGGAAACGAAUGCUAAUACCGCAUAAAAACUUUAAACACAAGUUUUAAGUUUGAAAGAUGCAAUUGCAUCACUCAAAGAUGAUCCCGCGUUGUAUUAGCUAGUUGGUGAGGUAAAGGCUCACCAAGGCGAUGAUACAUAGCCGACCUGAGAGGGUGAACGGCCACAUUGGGACUGGGACACGGCCCAAACUCCUACGGGAGGCAGCAGUAGGGAAUCUUCGGCAAUGGACGAAAGUCUGACCGAGCAACGCCGCGUGAGUGAAGAAGGGUUUCGGAUCGUAAAACUCUGUUGGUAGAGAAGAACGUUGGUGAGAGUGGAAAGCUCAUCAAGUGACGGUAACUACCCAGAAAGGGACGGCUAACUACGUG
rnacentral:rRNA from 1 species